ACGACACUGAUUUGCCCAGUGAUUGCC
rnacentral:piRNA from 1 species